CUCUCCUCCAUUUACUCCUUCCACUCAAACAGACUCUUUGGUUCUCUCUCCUCUAAGAAAAGGAAAAAAUCAUGUAUUUCUCUCUCCUCAUCUCAAACCGUUCGCCGUCUCCUCAUCUCAAACCCUAGAAAUCCAUACUCUGAAGAAUCACCAAUUUCGAAGAUCUGGUUUCUUCAACUUCUUCGUGACCAUACUCUGAUUCGCGAGAUGUGGUCGGCAUAUCUUCCGGUUGUUCGACGCCUCUGCUUCCAUCACGUCUACAUCCACCGCCGAUUUAGUGGUGGUAAGUUUAUCUCUAACUUUUUAGGGUUUAUUUCUUCUCGAAAUUCAGCAUUAGUUUGAUUGAUUUUUCCUUAGCAAACGAUUAAUUUAAUUCUUCAAUGCUGUAUUCAACAAUUAGGUUAUUUUUUGAGAAAAUUCAAUUACGAUUUUUCAAAUUUUGUCGUAGGUGAUUUUUUUCUCUUGAUAUUCUAUGCUCCUGCUCAAUUUUCUGGUGCUUCAGAUUGGGUUUGUCAAUUUUUGUGUGUAUUCCCUUAUUUUAGUCGAAUUCCGAUGAACAGAAUCUCUUUGUUUUUUUUUAAAUCUGUUUGAUUGAAAUUGUGUACUUUGUUGAUUUUGGUUAUUUUGAAAGCAAAGAUUUUGAAAGCAUUUCGAUGUGAAGCAACUUUUGGAGUCGGAUUUGAGACUUAUUUUGACCUCGAAUAAUUCGUCAAAGGUAAUUUCUCUCUCCAAAAACCCCGAUUUUAAAGAGCUUUUCUGCCUGGUGAAGUGGUAUUCUUCUUUUACUCAGCCCUGUAAAUUCAUACUUUAGUUUGCUUCAAUUUUAAUUUCUCGGCUUUUGUUUUCUCGAUUCGAAUUUGUAUUUUUAUUUCAUAUUGUAAUUUGUUUGAUUUUGGUCUGACAAUGGAGUUUUUUUUAUGUAACAGGCGAAUAUGCCGGCGAAUAUGCCGGCGAAAUUGAACUAGUGCAAGCUUGAUGCUCGUCGUGAACAAUGCCUUUCGCAAGAUUGUUUCUAUGGGUGAGACAAUGGAAUCGUUCAUGGAGAAUCAGACUUUUGAUGAUAGGAUUUUGAGGAAAUUGGCAUACUCACAUGUAUGGAAUUCCUAAGAGCAGGUUGCGUAGGUUGUACUAUGGCUAUCAUGAAGAAUGUUUUAAGGUAUCUUUCGUGUAUCGGAUCUCCUUGAUCAUGAUCCUAAGGGCGGAGAUGCUCAGAAGAAACAUAGGUGUUCAAAGGGAUUCUUUUAUGAUGCAUUUUAUGGAGAAAUGAGCUUGAAUGAGGAUCACUUCAAACGGAUAGAAGCACCGACAGCAAAAGGAAGAACUCAAGAAAUCUUACCAUGAGCUCGAAGGAGUCUUCUCCACCCAAGAAAUCAAGAACUCAAGUUCAAUCGAAGAAAACUCUUACUGCAUCAAUGGCUUCAAAGGCAAUUUCCUACAAAGAAGUUUCCAUGUCACCCCCAUGAACUAUCUUCAAGCCUGUGCAGCAGAAGAAAGAAGUAACUAAUGCAGAAGAAAUCCAGGAAGUUCCUGAAACUUCCUACAAAGUAGUCAGUCCAGUAGGACCGAAGGUAACAAGCCAUACCAGGCUUCAACACACCAGUCUCAGCACAUCCUACAGGCACAGUUCCAAUACCUCCAAUCUAAUAACCUUAAUUUUUUGAUAUGAACUUUUUAUCUAAUUUUAUAUUUAGUGGUUGUAAUACAAUUUAAACUUUUUAUAUAAUCUCGCACAUAUUGCUUCCUUCUA